rnacentral:lncRNA from 1 species
GGGAGAAAGGCAGAUUCCCUUAAAAGCCACCCCAGUUAGUCAAGGUCCCAGUACCCCUCAUGGGGCUUAGAUAAGCCAUGACUAAGGCCCAUUCAAUGGCCUUCAGUGGGACUUACUCUUGAAUAUAUAUUUCACUAGAUGUGCCAAUAAAAUCUGAGGCUCCUUCAAAAACAUAUAUUUAUUUUCAGUACUACUAUUUAUCUACAUUGCAUUUUGUAGAACAAUGUACAUCGCACUUGUCCAAAGCAGCUUACAAACCAAGAGUUUCUAGGGAGCAACAACACAAAACAUCAGUUUGGGAGGAAAAGCAGUAGAUAAAUCCGUAAAUAUCCAUUAAUGAUCCACAUUGAUUCAGAACCAAAAGCAUGUGAGAGUGUGAGAGUGUGAAAUAGCAAUUGUUCUUUAGAUAAAUGAUGAUUUUUGUCACCAAAUUAUAGAAACAGGUGAGCUUAACAGGUGUAAGGUUUAGCCGGUGCCUAAAUCUUUAGCCAGGGUGGGCCUCUACCAUCACGGAACCUUAGGCCCCAUUCCACUGGAACAGAGGAACCCCACUGUCCAGAUUGGGAGCCCUGUCCCUAUGCCAUCAGCCGCAAACAAGGAAAUGCUUCUGGUCCUCCAGCAGGUAGGACCCCAAACCACCCUGGGACCUCCUCGUACAGGAGUGGUUACAAACAGAAGUGAACAAAAUUCAGGCCUCUUUGCAGAGGAUAUAAUUUUAUGCACCUCUGACCCUAUCACAGCAGGCAAAGUACUAUGUACAGAGUUGGAACAGUUCUCCAGGGUCUCAGGAUUGCAAAAAAAACUUUUAAGAAAGCAGAGGUAAUGCUUUUUCAUACACCACCCCAUUCAUUUACAACAGACUUUUACAGCAAGGUUGAAGGUUCCAAUAGCUAGGAAAAGUUUUAGAUAUCUGGGGGUGCAAAUCACCCAAAAUUUGAACAAACAAGUUGUAUCAGUUUAAUUACACCACAUAACAGAAAACUAAAAUGUUAUCUUAAAGAUUUCAAAAUAAAACAUCACAAAGGAGGUCAACUACAGAACACAUAUUUAACAUAGCAGAGCUGGUGAGUCUGGACCCGGCCCCCUAGGCGAGGUGGAAAGGGCCUUGCAGGGAGCGGCCUUCAUGCCCCACAGCUGGGCAGUGUUCCUCGUUUAUGCACGUUUAUUUACAUCCAGUGGUUCCAGGCCUGCCGCCAUUAGCUAUGAGUUGAGUCUGAGUCCCCACCCCUGUCACAGCACAAUGGGCACCAAAGUCCUUCCUCUUUUACACUUCCAUUGUACUUUAACCCUUUCAGCUCUUCUGAUUUGGGGAGAAGGUGGGUGGAAAUCUCUCUCCCCCCCCCCCCCGCUCUCAAACAAAGAGCCCUCUGAACACCAAAGAAGUGUGCAUGCACACGGAAGCUCAUACCAAUAACAAACUUAGUUGGUCUCUAAGGUGCUACUGGAAGUAUUUUUUUUAUUUUCUCUGAACACUGUUUCUCUACUGGUUGCAUAGCAACCCCCUGAAUGUCGUCUUAUCUCUUCUCCUCCCCCUGCCUGUGAACUGUCUUGAGUGCUGCUCUAUCUGAGCUAACCCCCUCCUGCUCUGUCUGCACUCUUUCGUCUCCAGGGUCAGACUCUGGUUCUCUCUGUACUGGCAGUCCUUCAUCUCCAGAGCUUGACUCUUCCCAGGCAUUCAUUUUAGCUAUGUCUCUGACACUAAGUCAUGACAAGACUUGGUAAUCCCAGUCUAAGAGUCAUGACGUCAACUUCAUGGUCAUUUUUGUUUUCUCCGGUUAUGGCCUCUUUCCCUUUCCUGCUUUAGUUGCACAGGUGAUUCCAACAAAUCAGGGACCACAACAUAUUUUAAACUGGCACAGCAUUUCUCAUAGUUAUCUGUUUCUUCAGGUAAGGAUUUCUGACAUCUUUGGUUUUUUCUCCCCACUCCUUUACUGGCUUUGUUUGGCCAAUAAAUUAUACUUUCAGCUUCUACUGUAUUCUGCCUGACCUUCCUCUGUGUAGCUGGCCUAAGCACUUCACUAUUCCUUUUCUGCUUUGCCUUCUGAAACAGGGCUGUCAGUUGCUAAAUGCUUUUUGUACUCACUUUACAGUUUACAGUUUACUUGCUUUUAACUGAUUCCAUCCAUCAAGUUAAUAUUGCAAGAUUUCAAUCCACCUGAUUAUUCUGAGGAUAUUUAGAGUUUCUCUCAGUUUUGUACUAUGGAAAUUCCUCCCAGUGGCUUCACAGCCUAUUCAUAUAUAUUUGUCAAAUAACUGUCUUGUUUUUGUUUUGUUUUUGGUUUUUUCUUUACUAAAAAUUGAUUACCUAACAAAUCUGCCAGAAGCUGGUCAAAAUAUUGGGUUAGAUCCUGGAGAAAUAAAGUGUCCCCACAAGGGUUGAAUGGCACAAGCUUACUACUCUGUCUCACUCUGGCCAGUGCCUGCAUGGAAUUAUUCCAGGCUCCCAUUAUAAGGCAUGCUGAAUUUUCUUAAAGUAGAAUGGAAUGUACAUGUAAUAACAGAGUGCAAAUAUUCUCUGAAAAUUAAGCUAUGCAAAUAUUCUUAUUUCCCAAUCCUGUUCAGUGCCAUUAUUUCUCUUAACUACUACCCUACCUCCCCAUAGCAAUUACUGAAUCAUCCUGUCUGAAUUGAUCACAUGAGAUAGGUGAUCUUACCCAACUAGGGAUUCUUAUGUAUUAAUUCAAAUAUCUAUGCUUUCCACUUUAUUUCUAAAGCAUCCAUACCCUAUACAGAUUUCCUCAACCUGGUGCUCUCCAGGUGUUUUGGAUAACAACUCCUGUCAUCCCUGAUAGAAUAUACCAGUGUGCUUGAUGGGAGUGAUAAUGUCACCAAACCAUGGUAACUUGGUUCUUUUGAAAUCCAGAGAGACAAGUGAGAUCCCAUAUGCUAUAGGGCUUUCAAUAAGACACGUCGGAGACCAGACCUGAGUUUACACACCUUUCAUGUAACAUUUAUUUCAUAUAGUCAAGUAUACAUUAAUACAUUGGUACCAAGAGAUUCGAACACUCAUGCAUUCACACAAAAACUCACACAAGGCCCUUCAUGUGGGUUGAUCAAGCAUCACGUAAGAGCUGUGGGUGUCUGGUUGUAGCGCUGGUCCUGGCAACACUGAGGGUAAGCAGAGUGCCCUUUUUAUAGUCUUCCCCCUUGGCGUCUAUGGGCUGGCUUUUAGAACGACUAAGUUUCCACCACUCUCCUCCUGUUCUCCUUCUGGACCACCACAUCACCUUUGCUGUUGUACCUCAGAAAUACAUACGUGUUUCAGGCCUUUAUCAUCUGUCCGUGGCCCACUGCCAGUUCCUCCUUGUCUUUGUUCUUUUCAGAGGAUAUUUAUUACUGUUGUUCAUCGCCAGUGACGUCCUGUUUUUAUCAGGGGAUUUUUGCAUCAGGGUUUUUUUUUGCUUUCAUUAAGCAAAACCAAUGUUCUUUUGAACACAGUUAUACAUUUUUUCCUUGAUAUAACCAGUUUCUCGCUUCGCCUGCCAGCAUAUCAUGCGAAUUCGCCAUCUUCCUUGAACCCAACAUUCAUACAUGACAAUAGUUCAAAACAUCUGGAAGCCAAUGGUAAAGAAGGCUAUGCCAAUCUGUGUAACCAAUCAGGUUUUAUAAUGCAAUGAUGUAAUCAAAGGCAAACAAAUGAUGAUGAGAUGUCAGUGUUAUAUAUGUGGGAUUUGCAGCCAAAAUCACAAAUGCACAUUUUGCUAGGCAAGCAUAGGGCUAGUUCUUGAACUUCCAAGAGGGGACCUUUUGCAUGUGGUCACAUCCUUUGCCACCUCUGCUCGCCCUUGCCCUCACAGCUCACCCUCCCCACCUGCUGCAGUGCUUUUCCACCUGCCAUGCAAAAUCGGGGCACCCCGGAAUAAAGGCAGAGCCCAGGUUGCCUUAAAAAAGUGAGGCUGUCCCUCUUAAAACAAGGUGCUUGGCAGGUGUGUGUUAAAUCCAAAGCUGAUAAAUUGAUGCUGGAUUAUUGCAAUGUGUGCUAUAUGAGACUGUCCUUAGGCUUUGUUCAAAAGUUCCAGCUCAUGCAGAAUGUAGCAGCCAGACUGAUGAUGGGGGCACAUGACUAACAACAUGUGGCACCUUUACUGUCAUCAGCUCAAGCCUGUGGAAUGCUCUGUCACUAGAGAUUCAGUAAGUCUUUUCUGUUUUAACCUUUAAACACCUGCUGAAAACUUUUGUGGUCCACCAAGUUUAGGCAAGCAAUUGAGAAAAUAUUUUUCUGUAACAGUUAGUUAAUGGUCUCUGGUUUUAAUUUUUAAAUGCAUUUUUAAUAUAGAUAUUGUAAAACACUUUGGUAUUCAUUAUGAUAUAGCCAUAUUUACACAUUUUUAUAGAUAAAUAAGUAGUCUUUGGUCCCAAACAAAAAGUGCUUCCCCCUGCUGGAAUGUAUUAUUAAGAAGAGAAGCUCUAAUAUAGGUGUUAGGGCCAGAGUCAGAUCAGCACUAAAGAAAUAAGUCACUGAUGCCAGUGAAAUUAAGGUUUCUAGUGGUUGUGGCUUUUCAGGGGCAUCUAAUUAUUAUUAUUAUUAUUAUUAUUAUUAUUAUUAUUAUUACUAUUAUUUAUACCCCGCCCUCCCCAGCCUAGGCCGGGCUCAGGGCGGCUAACAAGCAAUAAUAAAAACAAGUUGAAUGAAUACAACUUAAAAACAAGAUUAAAAUACAACAAUUAAGAUAUUGAAACAUUAAAAUAUUAAAAUGCAGCCUCAUCACAGGAGGAGAAAGGAAAAAGGAAAAAGAUAGAGGGGGAGGGAAUCAAAUUGGCUCCAAGCCAAAGGCCAGACGGAACAACUCUGUCUUACAGGCCCUGCGGAAAGUAAUCAGAUCCAGAUCAGAUCUGGCUGAUCACAAUGGGAAAAUAAGUUACUGGACCAGAUGGACCUUUGGUUUGAUCCAGAGGUGGUUUUUCUUACAAUGUUCUCUCUCUCUCUCUCUCUCUCUCUCUCUCUCUGUGUGUGUGUGUGUGUGUGUGGUGUGUACAUGCACACAUACAAGCACACAGGACAAAGUUCCUCAGUCCUCCCAAUCUUUUUCUCCCAUAUCCUUGUGAGGCACCCAUUCACUCACAAUGCUCUGGCACCAGGCUACUUUUUCACAGUUAUAAACACAAGCCGUUCUAUUAAUUUCAGAUGAUGCAUUUUCUAUGCCUAGCUAUGAAUAAACCAGAUCAAUGCCAGUAACAUGCUUUAUUGGUCCUCCCAUGAAAUGAAUUUGUAGAGAGACAGGCCACGAGAUGGAGUCGACAUGCAGAUGAGAUUGGUAAGUGAGAGUGUAUUGAUUAUUUUCACCCCAGGCCAGGCAGUAAUUCCAACUGGUGCCAGUAUUUCCUCUUGCUUUGGUUCAUUAUUUAUGCGAUAAAAACACUAUCCCAAUGAUAACAACACGUUUCAUUUCCAACCCCAAGCAUAAAGCAUCGACACUUAAGAUUGUGAGAGGUGAGCAGGAGGGUGGGGAAAAGGGGGGUGGCAGAGAUUUUUAAAAAAAAAACACACAAGAAAACAAGUGCUAGAGAAACUGAAAACUGCUGAGCCUGGUCUUGUGGCUUUUUAUGCCCUCCAAAAGGAAGAUUGAGAGCAGGUGUUAGAUUACCAGGCUCUUUAUUAAUAACUCAAGGCUUCUAAAAGAGGUGGAUUGAUGGCACACUCAGUGCUUAGCCAGUGAAUAAAACCCUAGGUUCAGCAUGCGACUCAAAUCCAACUCAAACACUUUGCUCCAUCAACUGCCUGCCUCUCCUCAACAAAAAGAAGCCCUCUUGAGGAAGAAAAGGGAUCCAGCAAAUAAAAUUGGACUCUUCUUCCACAUGAGCAUUCAUAAUAAAUAAAUAAAUAAAUAAAUGUCAAGGCUUUGCUUAAAAGCCGGAGAGAUUUCCUUUGUCAGACUGCAGGAACACUUGGGAAACAAGUGUUCUCUGGUGUCACCCACCAUCAGCUUGCUUUGCAAGAAAGUCCAAACUUUCUGGCUCCUUUGAUGAAAUAACUGAAGGUUGUUUUAGAACAGAGAUAGCCAACAUUGUGCCUUCCAGAUGUUGUUGAACUCCAGCCCUCAUCAGCCCCAGACAGCAUAGCCCAAGGUCAGGGAAGAUGGGGGUUGGAGUUCAAUAAAAUCUGGAGGUCACAAUGUUGAAAUGCCUAGUGCUUGGUUUAGACCAGGGAUAGCCAACAUGAAGCCCUUCAGAUAGCGUUGGACUGUAACUCCCAUCAUUGCUGACUGUUGGCCAUGCUGGCCUAGGUUGAUGGAGUUUGGAGGGCACCAUGUUUCUAUCCCUGGUUUAAGACAAGCUCCAGGCAUUUCUUCAAAAGAGGCAUCUUGUGAAAAGACUUUCUCUUUUCCAUAACCCAAGCGCACUGGGGGAACUUGAGGGGGGCAGCAUUAAAGCAAAAACCUGUAACAAAAUACAUACUUCACAUCACCUUUAUGAGAGAAAAAAAAACUGAGAUGCAUAUCCUUCUUAAAUAUCUUAACCAGCUGCCAACACCACUUCUCUUUCUGAUUCCUUUUUCCCUAGCUGUGGAAAUUAAUCUGAAGCAGUGGCGGACUUUGAACUCUCAAAUUUGAGUGGCACCCUGUGCAAUACUAAAAUUCAGCGACCCCCACCCCCACCUCUUGCACUCUGUUGUACAUCAUUGCUGCAGCGUCUCCUGUGGUGCUGGUGCAAAUAUGUAAGACCAAACCAGUUGCUCUACCCUGAAACUACCUCUGUCUGAAGGUAGGAUAGUCCUCUUAGCACUCCUUCGGUCUGUUCAGGUCAGAGCCCAAUCUGUAGCUUCCUCUGAACUCCUCUUAUAAGCUCAAAGCAAGUUAGGUAAGUAGGUGAGACAGACCCUGAGAUAGCAUAAUACUUAGUUAGAUAAAGACUUCUAAAGUCAAGCCUUUUAUUAAAGGGAUUGUAAUAAAGCAAGUAAGAGAUAUAGACGGUAACAGUAAAAACAAAACAAAAAAGCAGUGAUUAUAAAGUAGCCCUUACACUUGAUUUGGUCCUAAGCUUAGCUUCAGUAAGUUUUAUACAACAAUGUGCCAAUAGCAUGGGUUCCAUCAUGGAAGGGAACAAGGAAGUUUCUCUAAGAUUGUUCAAACUGUCCAUGUUUAUGUUGUUUUCCAAGCUGCGAGUGAUGAGUCACCCUCAGUCAUAUGAAGCUCUGGGAUUCUUAGGUUCCACAUGUGCACAUGGAUGGCAAUAUUUAGCAUGUUUGUUUGUUUAUUACAUUUGUGUAUCAUCAUAUACCUGUAGAUCUCAGGGCUGUUCACAUCAUCAUCAUCAUCAUCAUCAUCAUCACCAUCAUUUAUUUAUUUAUAUGCCACUCAUCUGACUUGGUUACCCCAGGGGCAUCUUCCAACAAAUUAAAGCACAGUAAGACACCAAAUAUUAGAAGAAGAAGAAAAAGAGUUUGGAUUUGAUAUCCCGACUUUCACUCCCUUUAAGUAGUCUCAAAGCGGCUAACAUUCUCCUUUCCCUUCCUCCCCCACAACAAACACUCUGUGAGGUGAGUGGGGCUGAGAGACUUCAGAGAAGUGUGACUAGCCCAAGGUCACCCAGCAGCUGCAUGUGGAGGAGAGGAGACGAGACGCGAACCCGGAUUCCCCAGAUUACGAGACUACCGCUCUUAACCACUACACCACACUGGCUUAAAAACUUCCCUAUACAGGGCUGCUUUCAGAUGUCUUCAAAAAGUCAGAUAGUUGUUUAUUUCCUUGACAUCUGAUGGGAGGGCGUUCCACAGAGCUGGUAUGACUACCGAGAAGGCCCUCUGCUUGGUUCCCUGUAAUUUUUCAGUGAGGGAACCACCAGAAGGCCCUGGGGAGUGGAUCUCAGUGUCCAGGCUAAAUGAUAGGGGUGGAGAUACUCCUUCAGGUAUGCAGAGCCAAAGCCAUAAGGUAGGGUUUGCCAUAUGUCCAUUUCCCCCCAAAUACAUCCUCUUUGGGGGGAAUAAAAUUUGUGUCUGGGUGGAUUUUUAAAAUCUGGCAAAUAUCUAGGCUUUCUGUUCUUGCAGAGCACAUGGACCUCAAGCGAGCUUUUGCCAUAUGUGUAAUCACAGAGAUUUCCCAACCUGGCUGCGUAUAGUUACUUUUGCAACGUUGCCAGUUGCCGGUGCAUGCAUCUGGAGCUGGUUCAGGCUCACUGCCUCCUCCACUGACCAACCCAGAAAAGGGAAAGCAGUAAGCAUCGUGAGAUUUGGGCUGUCUCACACGGGGACGGGUGUGUGUGUAUGAAAUUUAAAUUAGAAACCUAGCAGAGUUUCCUGUUGCUUCCACAGUAGCCAGAACUGGGAAUGUUUGCAAGAAGACACAGGUGAGCGGCAGUUAAAAGAGGACAAGGGGAGUUUAUUUUCUCUCUCUCUUUCCGUUUGCCUUCCCUGUUUCUAUGUUUGCUGAGAAAAAUGCUUGGUGUGGGGGUUAUAGCAAGUGAAGGGACUGUGUGUGAAGAGGAAGGAUUUGCUGGGGUAAGUGCAAAUGUUCAUUCAUUCCUAGAAAUUGAUAGAAGAUUCAAGAAGCAGCGAAGUACUGAUUGUUUUGUCUAUCCAAGGACAUUUUCUAUGGAAACCGUUUUCUGGACAUGCACAGUUUCUGCAGAACACAGUGAUCUGUUUCUCAGUCUGUUUUAUCUCUCCAAGCUGACAACACGGAGAGAAAGAAAUUUUGCACCUUGGAACUUUAAGUGUACCUUCACCAGCGGCUGCGGUGAAAGCCUGUGUAUAUAGCUGAAACCAUUUACGUGUUUAUGACCAGCAA